rnacentral:rRNA from 1 species
UACAGAGGUCUCAAGCGUUGUUCGGAUUCAUUGGGCGUAAAGGGUGUGUAGGUGGCGCCGUAAGUCGGGUGUGAAAUUUCGGAGCUUAACUCCGAAACUGCACUCGAUACUGCGGUGCUUGAGGACUGGAGAGGAGACUGGAAUUUACGGUGUAGCGGUGAAAUGCGUAGAUAUCGUAAGGAAGACCAGUGGCGAAGGCGGGUCUCUGGACAGUUCCUGACGCUGAGGCACGAAGGCCAGGGGAGCAAACGGG